ensembl:misc_RNA
UUGGCAGCUCGGGAGACUGCAGGCCUAUAUUCGCAGAACAGGGACAUCAUGGGCAGUGGCAGUGCAAACUGUCCACACCUUUAGUCCCGACAGCAUCUCAAUAUCAGCCUGGAAAGAAGGCCUUGAGGACAGAAAGUUCAGACUCUAUGGUGCAUUCAGCCCUCAGCAUCU